AAAUGGAAUUACAAAAUUUUUGCUCAAUAAUUUUUAUAUUAAAAUUAUGUUUAAAAUAAGAUAAGCAAAAGUAAGAAGAACUGAAAAGUUAUAAAUAGUAACAUACAUGUAUAGUAUGUGUUAAAUUAUCGAUUGUAUUACAUUGUUAGGUCUAUAUAUUUUGAUGUGAACAAGGAGAAAGUGGUAUUUUUUGAUUAAAAAAAUAUACAUAACGACAAGAAAUACAAAAGGCUGUCAAAAAUUCUUCGUCAUUGGUGUUGAGACUUAUCAGGCAUGCACUCCGUGCCAGCUGCCCGAAUCAUCAUCAAAGAGGUAGUCACUGGGUUCAUAUUGUCAUAUGGUAAACCAUAUCCGUUAUACUACGGGAAUUAGACCAGCUCCCGAUACCACUGGCUCAACGCGAAGAAACGGACGCCCACUGUUCCAAAUUCAAAAAUCUAUUUAAGUUAAAUUCUGAAAAAACUUUAACAUCGCGAUUCAGAAUUCUUACCUGAAUCUAUUUAAAUCUAUUCCCAGUUCCCCAAAAUUUGGAAUAGCUAUUGUGUUUACAAAGGACAACACCCACGUUUUUUGCAACUUGGGGCGGCGCGGACGGCCUGUCCGCUCCGCACUAGUAUAAUAAAAAAAUAUGACUGCAGAUAAUUCAUUUUUAGGACUACUGUUACAAGACCAGUCGUUAAUAUGGAUGAUGAUGAUCAAAUUCCAUCCAGUAGUUUUUGGAUUUAGACAGACAGACAAAAAUUGUUUUGGCUUCUAUUAGUCCCAUAAAGUUAUCCCCUUAUAAUUUUAUUUUAUAUCUCUCUUGUACAGAUCUAUAUCUGUACACACAUUAUAUCUAUAGAUAUAAUAAAACGUGAUAGAUAUAAUAAACUUAGCGUGUCGACAAAUUUAUUAGUCGACACGCUAAGAAGAACAAUCUAUAUAUAUAUAAUCUAUAGAUACUAAUAAAUUUGUGAGGAUCAAUACAAUGCAACCGAAACAGCACUUUCUCUGACGUCAUACAGCUCCUUCAGUAUGCAGGAGGUAGGACACAUAAAAUAAAACAGGUCAUUAUGUAAUUACAGGACUUAAAUCAUCAGCCUUUUAAUCGUCCCAACCUGUCAACAUCAACAUUAUCUUGCUGGGACACAGGCUAUCCCUGUGCAUGCAUGGAUAAGGAGAAUACUUAGUUUACUUAUUACUGAUAACUACAAAGUAUCCCUGAAGUGCUAAAAUCCAAAAGCAUUAAACUCAUUUGCUUAUAAAUCUUGUUUUUAGCUUAGAAAACACUAAAUGGUAGCAUUAAGGUGAAUAAAGAGCAUAUAACAUUAAUGUUGUGUUAUUGCUAGCCGAGGCUAAACGAGCGCCAUUCACAGAAUAACCACAGUACCAGAUGUAUAAUUAUUUACAGAAUAAAUAUCACGUAUAUAUC